rnacentral:lncRNA from 1 species
CCAAAACUUCAAACGUAAAUAAUAGGAUGUCUAGUUCACUAGAAGAAAACCAAAAUUUCAGAACGGGUGGCCACUCCGAAUUCCCUCACAGCUCCAAGCCCACUAUGGUUGGGGAUUUCCUGCGUGGAUGAAAAUAAAAGGGUGAGUUUGGGGAAACUCAGUGUGUAAGGAAAAAUCAUUCAAAGCCCAAGUCAGCUCCAGCCCAUUGGACCUAAGCCCAUUCAGGUAACAGUGGUACUGGGCCAGAGCCUUUUUCAGAUUACAAUAAAUUGGGCCUUAGCCCCUUAUUCAGAUAACAGUAUAGCCCAUAGGCCCAUUUCAAAAUACAUGCAACAUCAAUAACAUAUGCAAGCCCAUUUGGGGAGACUACUCAACCCACCAACCACUACACUCCACCCGUACCAGCCCUACACUCCAUGUGGGGAAUAGCUCAACCCACCCAGCCCAACACUCCACAGUUGCAGCCUUGUUGCUUAGUUAACAGUAAUUUGAGGCAAAGCCUCCAGUACAUGGAUAAGCCACUUUCAGUACU